CUUGAAAUCAUUGUUCUACUUGCACCUUCCGAUCUUCAAAAUCUGCUAUAAAACUCCUCGUACCCUCAAAAGAGUAACAGUAUGUCUUAAUUAAACACCUUAACUUCAAAUGGCUAUAACUUUUCCAUCCUAACUCCAAAUCCUCUAAGUUUUGUACACAAAUUGUACCCCAAAUCCUAAACUUUACAAUCCUAGGUUGUAAUCUCCAAAUGCUCUCUUUGAGGUCGCCGAAACCCUCCUUAAGAUCACGGGUAGUCUCCUCAAAGCCCAUUAGGCAUGGUAUUCAACCAAUAGGUAUGAAGUUCCCCAUUCCUUGCCUUCAUCCGACCAUGCCUUGCUUU
rnacentral:lncRNA from 1 species